UACGAAGGGGGCGAGCGUUGUUCGGAUUUACUGGGCGUAAAGGGCGCGCAGGCGGCUCAUUUUGUCAGGCGUGAAAGCCCCGGGCUUAACCUGGGAACUGCGUUUGAUACGGAUGGGCUAGAGUUCGGGAGAGGAGAGUGGAAUUCCCAGUGUAGAGGUGAAAUUCGUAGAUAUUAGGAAGAACACCGGUGGCGAAGGCGGCCCACUGGAUCGGUACUGACGCUGAGGUGCGAAAGCGUGGGGAGCAAACAGG
rnacentral:rRNA from 1 species